UGAUAGGUGAGAUUUUGAUCCGAGGGUCGGAUGAAAUUCCGAGAGUUGCAGUAGCGAUUUUGGAUAUGUUCGUAAGUUUUCAGGUCAUUCGGACGUCGUUUGGUUGGGUUUUGGAUCGAAUGCGAAUUCGGAAAGUUAUUAGUUUAUCUUAAAAUGAAAUUCAACUAUUUUGGUGAGUUUUGAUGUUGAAGAUAGUGUUUUAUGUUCAGGUCAUUCGGACGUCGUUUGGUUGGGUUUUGGAUCGAAUGCGAAUUCGGAAAGUUAUAGUUUAUCUUAGAAUGAAAUCCAAUGAUUUUGGUGACUUUUGAGGUUAAAGAUAGCGUUUUUAUGGCCCGAGCAAGUUUGACUGGGGUAAUAAGUCGUGUUGGUGCUUUUGGUUGAGGUCCUGGGGGCCUCGGGGUGAUUUCGGAUGGUUGACGGAUGGUUUUGAAGUUGAGAAGUGCAGCAGGUUUUAGGCUUCAGGUGUUGCAGACGGGUUGCUCUAUGCGAUCGCAGGUAUGGCGUUGCGAUCGCAUAGGUUGAGGUCAUGGUUCUCUGCGAUCGCAGAGGAGAGGCUGCGUUUGCGUAGGUAUGGGCAGCGAAGGUAUGCGAUAGCAGGUAAGAGGCCGCGUUCGCAUAGGCCAUCGGGGAGGCCUGGGAAGGAUGUACUAUGCGAUUGCAGGAGUUGUUACGCGAUCGCAUAGAGGAAGUCAGAGCUGGGCAGAGGGUUUUUAAUAUUAUUUCAUCCGCGAGCUUCAUCACCUUUUCCUCCA
rnacentral:lncRNA from 1 species